GGCUAAAUGAAGAAACAGUCGAAACAAUUGAAUUUCAGUAUUUGCUUUAAAGUGCAAACACUUAUUGAGUUUCAACCUUUUCCCCACAGCUGUAUCCAAAGCGAGACUGAGGAAUUUGUCUGGGCGAGUUCAAGUGCCAUGGAGAGGGGGGGAGGAAUGGAAGGUGCAGGGCGCCACCUUUACCCCACCAACAGGAAUGACCCGUCUACGAUAACAAACUCAAAUCUAAAUAUACAAUACACAAGACCUACCUCCCCACUUACGUACACAGCUCCAGGGCUAGAGAUCUCAAUCCAUUUUAGUAUACAUCAGACAUCGACAUUGACGAAUUUAUUGAGCCUCCCUAACAGCUUUUUUUUCACAGUGUUGUCUGCUAUUUAAUGUUUUGAAAUGUAGGGGUGGUAAGAAACGCAAGUUCAGCGAACUUACCAGAAAUAUAUGGGCGUAAUUUUCGAGUUUA